GCGGAAGUAGCUCAGUGGUAGAGCACCACCUUGCCAAGGUGGGGGUCGCGGGUCCGAGCCCCGUUUUCCGCUCCA
rnacentral:tRNA from 2 species